CCGGCCCAGGCCCAAAUAGAAGAAGUAAAGCAUGAGGGUUGAUUCGGCCAAUAUAUAUAAUAGUGACAGUGCCUUUCUGUUUUUACCACCGUCUCCUCUCCUCUCCUAUCGGACAGAGGUGAGUGAGUGCGGUGGUUGUUGGUGGCUUCGAUGGCAUUUAUUGAGUGAGGCGGUGAUGGAUGUUGACGUGUCCUGGCGAGGUGUUUCUGUUGACGCAGCCAUGGACACUGUUUCUCUCUUUUUGUUCUGAGUCUUACUUACUCACUCACUCUCUUACCUUUUGUUGCAUGCUAUCUAAUCUUUAAGUGUGGGAGGCAUCGCAUACAUCAUCUCAGAUCUUGCAAUUGCCGAUGAUCCUUUAUGAAGAAUGAGAUGCUGAUAUUUGGUGACAAUCUAUCUCCAAAAAAAGUCCUUAAUAUGUAGGUAGAAAUAAAAAAUGAUUCUGUCUCUAUUACUACACAUUUCUUAGUACUACAAACAAUGUCAAACAAUUCCAAGUUGAUUUGGGACUGCUGUACACUAUCAAUUUCUAUCAUCAAAUUUGUUUAAAAAAAAUUUAAGUAAUGUUUAUGAUAACCAUUUAAAAAUGGUAGAGAUUGUAGUUUCAAGGUGUGUGCAAAGCAAGUUCUUCAUAGAAUUUUAUGGACGGAAGAUAAACAGGCAGAUAAGGGAAGACCAAAAGACAAAAGGGUUAUGAUAUUCUAGUUCCAAUAAAGUUUUAACUAUAAAAUUUUAUCUUAGUUUUUUAAAAUUAGAACAUCUGUAUUCACCAUAAAUAUAUUGUUCACUUGUUAAUAGAAAAAUGUCAACUUAUGUCAAUUUAUUUUUAAUAUCCUACCUAAUGAGUUAUUAGUACUAUUUUACCAAGACAUGUAGUGAAGCAAAAUUAUUUAAUUUUGAAAAACUAAAGAACAAACUUUGUUAUUAGAAGUUUCGUAAAAAUCAAAUCAAAUCAAAUGAUUAAGCUUAUUUAUAUACUAUUUUGUGGACAGAACUAUAAUUUAGUGAAAUUUUAAAUUAUAUAUGAUGUUGAUCAAUUCAGUUUUAAAAAUAUAUUGAAUUAUUAUCAAAUUAUAUUUGGUGAUAAGUUCCUACAGUUAUUAGCAUGGGUAUCAUGACCAAGAUAAUAAAAAUUGAUAGAUAAUAUAACUGAAUAGAAUUAAAAAAAAAAACAUAUGUUAUUUUUACCUUCAAUAAUAAAUUAACUACAAAAAACAUUGAACUAUUCAUAAUUUUCAUAUAUAGAAAGAUGAAAACAGUUAAAAAUACAAUAGUUUUCUCUUCACCUCAUCGAUCGUCUUCAACAUUUUUCGCAUUCAUUUGGUAUAAAUACAAGUAUGCAUUUCCAUUCAUUAUUCACCUCUGUGUGUUGUAUGAAUAUUUUUUCUCGCAACACACACGGAGGUGCCUCAAAUGGAUUCCAAGAAUAGUACCCAUUGCGAGAGAACAGAGACAAAUCCUACGAUUUUGCUGCAAAAGAGUAUCAUUUUGCUUCUUUCUCGUUGGUAUGCCCUUCAAAUGGCUAUUGAAAAUCAAUGGGCUGGUUCUG